AAAAUCGGCAAAGUUUUGAAGGAUUUGUAAGAAAUGUUUGAGGGAACUGAUUUAAUGUUUAACGCUAAGUUAGUUCCUGAAACAUUUCUUGCAAAUCCUUCAAAA